GACGAACGCUGGCGGCGUGCCUAACACAUGCAAGUCGAACGGGACCAGUCUUGGUGGCAACAUCUUGGUUGGUUUAGUGGCGAACGGGUGAGUAACACGUGAGGAACCUGCCCCGGAGACCGGGAUAACAGGAGGAAACUUCUGCUAAUACUGGAUGUCCCCAUUGUGCCGCAUGGUGUGGUGGGGAAAUGGGUUUCCGCUUCGGGAGGGUCUCGCGGCCUAUCAGCUUGUUGGUGGGGUAAUGGCCUACCAAGGCGUCGACGGGUAGCUGGUCUGAGGGGACGAUCAGCCACACUGGGACUGAGACACGGCCCAGACUCCUACGGGAGGCAGCAGUGGGGAAUCUUGCGCAAUGGGCGGAAGCCUGACGCAGCAACGCCGCGUGCGGGAUGAAGGCCU
rnacentral:rRNA from 1 species